rnacentral:lncRNA from 1 species
AGAAAAUGAAAACAAAACAAAACACCAAAGUCAUUGCCCCUGAAGCAACUAUAAUUUUCUUUUCUUCUCAGAUGAACCCCACCUUCUCCACCAGCGAAUUUUAGAUUUAUUGGAUUUCUCCUAGCCACCAAGAAAAAUGAAUUUGAAGAGAUUCAACUUCUUACCUUCAACCUUUUUUCGCAGAGAGGUGGCUCUGGCGGCAGCGUGCUGAGCAUCUUGGCAUCUUGGCGCGAUGGCAACUAUUGUCUGGGUUUGGUGAGGUCCCUUCCAGGCUGGGUUUUUAUAGUACUUCAGAAAGUGGAAUCCCUUUUACAACUGGCUUCUAGGAAGCUGGAAGACAGAUAUGAUGGCCAAUUGGAAAUUGUUCCAGUCCUUCUGUUCCACUGGGUCAGGUGAGAAAACAAUGGCAGUCAGGUGAGUUUCCCUUGGCGUAAACACCAUUUACUUUUCUUAGGUCACCAGGAUUCUAUUUAUUAUUGUUCCUGGUGAUUCAUCACAGAGUACCCAGUGACCUGAAAGUUGG